GACGAACGCUGGCGGCGUGCCUAAUACAUGCAAGUAGAACGCUGAAGAGAGGAGCUUGCUCUUCUUGGAUGAGUUGCGAACGGGUGAGUAACGCGUAGGUAACCUGCCUUGUAGCGGGGGAUAACUAUUGGAAACGAUAGCUAAUACCGCAUAACAAUGGAUGACACAUGUCAUUUAUUUGAAAGGGGCAAUUGCUCCACUACAAGAUGGACCUGCGUUGUAUUAGCUAGUAGGUGAGGUAACGGCUCACCUAGGCGACGAUACAUAGCCGACCUGAGAGGGUGAUCGGCCCCACUGGGACUGGGACACGGCCCAGACUCCUACGGGAGGCAGCAGUAGGGAAUCUUCGGCCAUGGGGGCAACCCUGACCGAGCAACGCCGCGUGAGUGAAGAAGGAUUUCGGAUCGUAAAGCUCUGUUGUAAGUCAAGAACGAGUGUGAGAGUGGAAAGUUCACACUGUGACGGUAGCUUACCAGAAAGGGACGGCUAACUACGUG
rnacentral:rRNA from 1 species